rnacentral:rRNA from 1 species
GUGGCGAACGGGUGAGUAACGCGUGGGUAAUCUGCCCUCUUGACCGGGAUAACAGCUCGAAAGGGCUGCUAAUACCGGAUACGAACAUGCUUCGGAUGGGGCAUGUUGAAAGGAUGCCAUGGCAUCGCAGGAGGAUGAGCCCGCGUCCCAUUAGCUAGUUGGUGGGGUAAUGGCCUACCAAGGCGACGAUGGGUAGCCGGCCUGAGAGGGUGGACGGCCACACUGGGACUGAGACACGGCCCAGACUCCUACGGGAGGCAGCAGUAGGGAAUUUUCCGCAAUGGGCGCAAGCCUGACGGAGCGACGCCGCGUGAGCGAAGAAGGCCUUCGGGUUGUAAAGCUCUGUCUUCAGGGACGAAAGCUUCCCAGAGGGAAUGCUGGGGAGAUGACGGUACCUGAGGAGGAAGCCCCGGCUAACUACGUGCCAGCAGCCGCGGUAAUACGUAGGGGGCGAGCGUUGUCCGGAAUCACUGGGCGUAAAGGGCGCGUAGGCGGUCAGGUAAGUCAGAUGUGAAAGACCGAG